UACGGGGGGGGCAAGCGUUGUUCGGAAUUACUGGGCGUAAAGGGCUCGUAGGCGGCCAACUAAGUCGGACGUGAAAUCCCCAGGCUCAACCUGGGAACUGCGUCCGAUACUGGAUGGCUUGAAUCCGGGAGAGGGAUGCAGAAUUCCAGGUGUAGCGGUGAAAUGCGUAGAUAUCUGGAGGAGUACCGGUGGCGAAGGCGGCAUCCUGGACCGGCAUUGACGCUGAGGAGCGAAAGCCAGGGGAGCAAACGGG
rnacentral:rRNA from 1 species